GAUGAACGCUGGCGGCGUGCCUAAUACAUGCAAGUCGAGCGAACGGACGAGAAGCUUGCUUCUCUGAUGUUAGCGGCGGACGGGUGAGUAACACGUGGAUAACCUACCUAUAAGACUGGGAUAACUUCGGGAAACCGGAGCUAAUACCGGAUAAUAUUUUGAACCGCAUGGUUCAAAAGUGAAAGACGGUCUUGCUGUCACUUAUAGAUGGAUCCGCGCUGCAUUAGCUAGUUGGUAAGGUAACGGCUUACCAAGGCAACGAUGCAUAGCCGACCUGAGAGGGUGAUCGGCCACACUGGAACUGAGACACGGUCCAGACUCCUACGGGAGGCAGCAGUAGGGAAUCUUACGCAAUGGGCGAAAGCCUGACGGAGCAACGCCGCGUGAGUGAUGAAGGUCUUCGGAUCGUAAAACUCUGUUAUUAGGGAAGAACAUAUGUGUAAGUAACUGUGCACAUCGUGACGGUACCUAAUCAGAAAGCCACGGCUAACUACGUG
rnacentral:rRNA from 1 species